rnacentral:rRNA from 1 species
GUAGUCAUAUGCUUGUCUCAAAGAUUAAGCCAUGCAUGUCUAAGUAUAAGCAAUUAUACCGUGAAACUGCGAAUGGCUCAUUAAAUCAGUUAUCGUUUAUUUGAUAAUACCUUACUACAUGGAUACCUGUGGUAAUUCUAGAGCUAAUACAUGCUUCAAGGAGUGGCUUUCGUCACUCUGCACUUAUUAGAUAAAAAACCAAUGCCCCUUUGAGGCUCCUUGGUGAUUCAUAAUAAUUUAGCGGACCGCAUUCCCUCGAGGAGGCGGUGGAUCAUUCAAAUUUCUGCCCUAUCAACUUUCGAUGGUAGGAUAGUGGCCUACCAUGGUUUCAACGGGUAACGGGGAAU